rnacentral:rRNA from 1 species
ACGAACGCUGGCGGCGUGGAUUAGGCAUGCAAGUCGAACGAGGAUAUAUCCUUCGGGAUAUAAGCCGAGUGGCGCAAGGGUGAGUAAUGCAUAGAUUACCUGCCUCUAGGAUAAGGACAACUUUGUGAAAACGAAGCUAAUACUUAAUAAUACAAAAGAAAAUAAUUUUCUUUUGUCAAUGGGAGGGUAGCAAUACCUUUUGCCUGGAGAGGGGUUUAUGUCCUAUCAGCUUGUUGGUGGGGUAAUGGCCUACCAAGGCGAAGACGGGUAGCCGGACUUAGUGGUUGGUCGGCCACACUGGGACUGAGACACUGCCCAGACUUCUACGGAAGGCUGCAGUCGAGAAUCUUUCGCAAUGCCCGAAAGGGUGACGAAGCGACGCCGCGUGGGUGAGGAAGGCCUUCGGGUUGUAAAGCCCUGUCAGGAGUUAAGAAAUGUAAGUGCGCUAAUAUCGCAUUUAUUUGACGAAGGCUCCAAAGGAAGUCACGGCUAACUCUGUGCCAGCAGCCGCGGUAAUACAGAGGUGGCAAGCGUUGUUCGGAAUUAUUGGGCGUAAAGAGCACGUAGGUGGGUUUGUAAGUCAGAUGUGAAAGCCUUCUGUUCAACGGAAGAAUUGCAUCUGAAACUGCGAGUCUUGAGUGUAGGAGGGGAGAAUGGAACUUCUGGUGGAGCGGUGAAAUGCGUAGAUAUCAGAAGGAACGCCGGCGGCGAAAGCGAUUCUCUGGCCUAUUACUGACACUCAGUGUGCGAAAGCUAGGGGAGCAAACGGGAUUAGAUACCCCGGUAGUCCUAGCCGUAAACGAUGGGCACUAAGUAGAGGGAAUUACCGAUGUUCUCUCUGCCGUAGCUAACGCAUUAAGUGCCCCGCCUGGGGAGUACGGCCGCAAGGCUAAAACUCAAAAGAAUUGACGGGGGCUCGCACAAGCGGUGGAGCAUGUGGCUUAAUUCGAUGCAACGCGAAGAACCUUACCAGGUCUUGACAUGCACGGGACAGCCAUAGAAAUAUGGUUUCUCUUCGGAGCCCGUGUGCAGGUGCUGCAUGGCUGUCGUCAGCUCGUGUCGUGAGAUGUUGGGUUAAGUCCCGCAACGAGCGCAACCCCUACCUUUAGUUGCCAGCGGGUCAUGCCGGGAACUCUAGAGGGACUGCCGGUGAUAAACCGGAGGAAGGUGGGGAUGACGUCAAGUCCUCAUGGCCUUUAUGUCCAGGGCUACACACGUGCUACAAUGGUCGGCACAAAGAGUCGCGAUACCGCGAGGUGGAGCUAAUCUCAAAAAACCGAUCUCAGUUCGAAUUGGAGUCUGCAACUCGACUCCAUGAAGUUGGAAUCGCUAGUAAUCGUGGAUCAGCAUGCCACGGUGAAUACGUUCCCGGGCCUUGUACACACCGA